UACGUAGGGUGCGAGCGUUGUCCGGAAUUAUUGGGCGUAAAGGGCUCGUAGGCGGUUUGUCGCGUCGGGAGUGAAAACACUGGGCUUAACUCAGUGCUUGCUUUCGAUACGGGCAGACUAGAGGUAUGCAGGGGAGAACGGAAUUCCUGGUGUAGCGGUGAAAUGCGCAGAUAUCAGGAGGAACACCGGUGGCGAAGGCGGUUCUCUGGGCAUUACCUGACGCUGAGGAGCGAAAGUGUGGGGAGCGAACAGGAUUAGAUACCCCCGUAGUCC
rnacentral:rRNA from 1 species